AAAAAGGGCUUAUGCUGGGAGUGGCACAUGUAGGCAACCCGAAUGCUCUUCACACAAAAUCUAUGUCAAGAGAUUUUGGAUGAAUAAUUUUUUGGCAGUUGGGCAGGUGGUGAUCAUUGGUCCCAGCACCCUA